GAUGAAGAACGUAGUGAACGUGCGAAACGUAAUGUGAAUUGCAGAAUUCAGUGAAUCAUCGAAUCUUUGAACGCAUCUUGCGCUCCUUGGUAUUCCGAGGAGCAUGCCUGUUUGAGUGUCGUGAAUACUCUCAACUUCAACCCUUUUUUCGGAAAGGGAGGAAGGUUGGACUUGGGUGUUUGUUGAAGUGCGAGCUUCGACUCAUCCUAAAUGCAUUAGCGAUUUGCCUCGAUCACACACAAUGUGAUAAUUAAAACUAAAGCAUUGUUUAAUGAUCAAGUCGAGACUGCUUCUAACUGUCGCAAGACAAUAACGUGCAUACAUUUGUGCAUGUCAUUUGACCUCAAAUCAGGUAGGACUACCCGCUGAACUUAAGCAUAUCAAUAAGCGGAGGA
rnacentral:misc_RNA from 1 species